rnacentral:misc_RNA from 1 species
UAGGCAUUGCAAAGUACACAGGAAAUUUAUUGAAAUCCCAUAGCCUAAAUAUAAGUGAAAUCUUGAAACAUCCUUGAAUCUGGCUCAAUAUAAGAACAGACCCUAAAGCCUAAAACACAUUAGAAUCUAGCAGCCUCUAAAAAUCGAGCUGCCCACCAAAACACACCUAGUUGAGUGCCUCUCCUAAACAGAAGCCAUGUAAGGCUGAGACCACCACAUAUUGGCUAUCAUUUUCAACCAAGCUCACCAAGAUUAGCCAAAAAAACAAGAAACCCAACCAAAAAUUAGAGGAGCAAGGGCCAUGAGAGCCAACGCAGGAAGCUAUGGAGGUUAAUGAUGAUCGAACUCCUUAGCAUUUAACUUGAGCCUUCCGGAUUGGACAAAUCCAGCUACUAAACCACAAGUUGCCACCAUUUCCACAAAUCAGAGCCAUCUA